AUGUAUACAGAAGAUUGGAGCUACUCAACUUGUCCUUUAGGUGUUUUUAUUCCGUGUGGUUCUGUAAAGUAUUACCAUAUUGGAACAACAACAAGAAGUCAGCAGCUAAGCUAUUUCCUACCCGGAAUGACUGAAGGUUUUAGGACUUUUCAGUUACCACGGGCUCUGAAGGAAAUUGAUCUGAAGAAAGAUGCCAGAUAUUCCAAGGAGCAAGAAGAUUGUAGCAUAGCCUUAAAAAUGGGGACUCGGGUACGCAACACCUUUUGGUGGAUAACACUUGAUACAAAGUAUUAUUUGGCGAGUAAGGAACUCAUAUCUGAUUGA